GACUACUGGGGUAUCUAAGCCUGUUUGCUCCCCACGCUUUCGCGCCUCAGCGUCAGUUACUGUCCAGAAAGCCGCCUUCGCCACUGGUGUUCCUCCUAAUAUCUACGCAUUUCACCGCUACACUAGGAAUUCCGCUUUCCUCUCCAGCACUCAAGAACCCCAGUUUCAGAUGCAGUUCCGCAGUUGAGCCGCGGAGUUUCACAUCUGACUUAGGAUCCCGCCUACACGCCCUUUACACCCAGUAAUUCCGGACAACGCUUGCCACCUACGUAUUACCGCGGCUGCUGGCACGUAGUUAGCCGUGGCUUAUUCUUCAGGUACCGUCAUUUUUUUCGUCCCUGAUUAAAGAAGUUUACAACCCGAAAGCCUUCAUCCUUCACGCGGCGUUGCUGCUUCAGGGUUUCCCCCAUUGAGCAAUAUUCCCCACUGCAGCCACCCGUAGG
rnacentral:rRNA from 1 species